UUCCAGCUUCUCUGUGGUGGGGGCCACAGGUGGAGUGGAGAGUACAGCAUCCAGAACCAUCUGAUGGGACAGAUGGUGUCAGGAGAGCUAUUGUUUUUCCAUUUGUUAAAUGGGAAUGACCCUAGGAACUUACAGGGCUGUGUUGGGAUUAGCGGUAAGGGCCAGAACAGACUGGCAUGCUGUAGAUGCUCAGGAAUGGGGAAGGAGGGGCCUUGUUUCUAAGAUGGUUUCCCUGUGCCGCUUCCACAUGGUGACCAACUGCACGUGCUGGGUAGGGCAGUGGUGUUGAGGGGGGUGCCAUAGGCUCAGGCUGCCUUGUGUGGAGGCUACGCCAGCUGUGUUCUCCCCACCCCCUUCCCGCCGCGGGAGUGGAAUCCAGCAGGAAUGCAUGUUGCGUUCUUUCCUGGCUACUUGGGCCACCUGUGCCAUCUGGCCAGGCUCAUGGAGUGCAUAGGCUUGGGAGUUAUGUCCCCACCCAUGCCCGCUCCCACAUUUACGCCCCAUUUUCAGAGGGAGAAUCUGACCCCUGGCUAGAGCUGCAGGUAGGGGAAGAAAGUCCCAAACAAGUUAGGGAGUCUUCAAGGGUCUUCCUGUCCUCUUUUGUGGCCCUUCCUACUUCCCCUGUCGCCCUGUCAUGCCUGUCUGCUCCUCCGGGCACCCUUGGCCUGUCUGAAGGCUGCUUAUCCUUUAGAUGCUAAACCACCUCGUCCCAGGAGGUGCUGUCAGCUUAGUAACUCUGACCUUAGUUCUAUUCAUAAUUUUAUGUUGGUUUUUCGGCUCCCCAGCAGCUGAAAGCCUCAAGACCCAGCACUCAGACGAGGACAGGGCCUGCUGAUUUCAAAGCCUCAGGCCCUGCUUGUGUGAUAGAACCCAGGACUCCCGGUGCCUUUGGCCAGGUACCAUCCUGGAAGCUGCACUGUACCAAGCCCAGUGCUUGGCACCUUCUCCUCAAGCUGGUCAGCAGUGAGCCCACCUGAUGCACCUGUGGGCACUUGUGGCCCUGUCCUACCACAGCCUUGAGGUCGUCAUCUUGCUCUGAGUUCCCUAAAAGCAACUCUGCCACCAGCCUGCCUUCUGCUUUAGAUUAUUGGAUAUAAACUGUAUUUCCCUGAUUAAAGGAAACCUCCGCACGGGGUAUAGAGGGUGUAAAUGUCCAGACUCACGUCUUCUAAGGCAUUCCAAGGGGGGGCUGCCGAAAGGAAGGAGUGUGUUAUGUCACUGGUGAGUUGUAGGUCUUUCUAGAAACUUGGAAUAUGACAUGUGCGCGUGUGUGUGUCAGAUUGUGUCACUUUGUUCCCCAGCUCUGAGGCCUUCCAUGUGCCACCAUUCUGGGCACUGCUGUCCAAGGUCUUACAGCUAGAGAAAAGGGGUCUCUCCAGAUAGAUUCUGUGGGUUCCUGCUGUCUGGUGGGUUCUGAGCCCCCCAUGGCUGUCUCCUCCCCUAGUAGCCUCUACCUUGCAAUAACAGGGCACAUCCUGGCUGAGUAGCACAGGGAGCUAGGGGAUGUUUGUCUGCACUGCUGCUGUGUGUUGACUCGAUAGCCACUUUGGAAGGCUGGGAGAAAGCUUGUGGCUCUGAGGUGGUCAGGGUCCUGCUGUCCAAACAGCCUUCUGGAAGCCCAGCCUUCGAUUGCCCCUGGCUCUUUUCAGUGGCAUUCCCCACCCUCCAGCAUAGAGCAGAGCAUGCCUCAGGCUAGAUUCAGGCAAGAUCAGGGAAAUACACCUGCAUAGCUGAGACUGGUUUUAAAAAAAUGGAAAACCCCUCCUACUGGGAAGAUUCAUGUGGGCACAGCAAAGAGCCCUGGGCAUAAGCUGUCAGAGUUCCUUUCACAAGGGCUAAGAGGGGACACGCACCUAUUAGGUGCCUGCUGUAUGCCAGCUGCUGCUGUGAACCUGUGAUCCGACUGUGUCUCCACUGGUCACCUCUACUGGGGGGAUGGCAGGACACCUACCUUAGGUGGUGGGCUAGAGUCAAGGUCGUGAAGAAUGAGGGAUCGGCCUCAUUCUCCUCAUGUCUGUCUGGGAAAUCUGAACUCAAAUUCUGUGCCCUCAACAGUACUGGAGUGAGGUGCCAGCCUGAUAGCGUGAUUGCUGGGCAGGGUGACCCAGUUGAACCAAGCUGUCAUUCUACCAUGUGUGGUAUUUCUGGGAGAAGCGCCAGGCUCAGAGCUGGUGUCGGAUUCCUCUGGGAGCCUUUCCAGAGGCCUUGUUUCCCUUGGGAUCCCACGAUUCCUGAGGGAAGGGCCUCUUCCUAAAACGUCUACACCGAUGAGCCCAGGGCCUUCUGUGGUGCGGUGGUCCACUCUGCCCCGUCUGUGGGUUGAGUCUCUCUUUGGAGGACUAGCUUUUCCUAAAAAGUACUUUCAGAACUGAGCAUAUUGCAGACCCUCAUCAAGACCUGCUGGGUCUGUAGGCUGGGCUGGCCAGUGACAGAGGUAGAGGCCUGAGUGGGCAUCUGGCAGCUCUGCCCCUGGGGGUGCCUUGGGUGUGUGAAUCCUGUCUCCUCCUACACGUGGUACUGGUGCCAGGGAAAGCAAGAGGGGAGCUGUGCCUGGUUCCCAAGCCAGACUGAUUGGGGAGGGAGCAUGGAGCCUGGACCAGGCUGUUGUACUGCGAUGACAACUGGGAUUAUCACCAAAGGUGGUAAUUCCCACAUGACAGUUUCAAGUUUCAGGUCAAGAGCUGACGCUAGUCCUCUGUCUCCUCUUUCAUCUGGACAGAGAUCCUUGCUGGCUUGUUUUCUGGCUCGUUCCUCAGCUGUUCUCAAGACCUUGUACUCCACAGAGACCCUGUUCCCUGCAGAUUCUGAGCCCCAGGGGAAUGGGGGAUGCUCUGUUCCACUGAUCCGGGCUGCAGAAGAGAACUGGGGGAGCCCCAAAAGAGACCUGUGGGAAGGUGAGGGCCACAGCCUCCCUGGGAGACCAGCAAUGGGGUGCUGAGGAGGGCAAAGUGGGGCUGGCAUUUGGAGCCCUGGUGGGCUUUGCAGCAGGCCAGAUGGAGGGGAUCACCCUGCCAGAGUCACCCUCUGACCACGGCAGCCUGAGACCUGUGGUGGUUGCCACGGGUUCUGCUAUACAUGUUUUAUGGCUCUGAGAAGAGUCUUCCCAGUAGCCCCAAGCAUGUGAGCCCACCACCCCCCACCUCCAGCAUUUCCCAGAAUGGAGCCUUCAGCCUCACAAGGAAGUAGAAGAUGAUGCUGAGUACCCUAGAAGUCAGGCAAGAGGUAAUCCUGUGGUUUUCUGGAAAGGAACUCCAGUAACUACCACAGGUUGGACCACAUGAAUAGCUGAGGCUUCUGAUAAUUAUGAUAAAUGAUGCUUGUGCUUCUGGAUGCUUCCUCCCUCUAGCAGGAGAAAGGUGGCCUGUUCAUCACCCCCUCAGGGUGUGAGGGUACAGUGUCAUUAUCCCCAUUUCACUGGUGGGAAUAUUGAGAGAUGAAACAAGCCUCUGAGUGGCCUCAGUAAUCCCAGUUUGUUUGUUGUCCUUUUUCUGGCAUGAUGGAAGAAGGCCCUGGAGGUUGGGGCGGGGAAGAGGGAGUCUGGGAACAGAGGAAUUAUAUUUCCUUUUCCAAGUAUGUACGUCAAGGAUGGUAGAGUUCCUGGCCACUUGAUUUGAGUGCACAGAAAGUUUUCCAGGGGAAAAUUCAUUCUGUCUUAAACCUAGAGACCCUGGUGCCUCCUGGUCUGUUCCUUGGCUUUUGACAUUGGGUACAUCUCAGGUUGUGGUGCAGAAUAUAAAAUAACCCCCCUUACUUCUACCACCCCAGCUUACCUCCGGUUCAUCCCCAGGAUGCCUGAAGUCAGGGAUCGAGCUCAGGGUGGGGCUAACCCCUCUGAACCUCCAGGAGGUAGCCUUGGCUGGGCACACCUACCUGGGUGAACCCCCUGCUUUUCAACUCGACUUGUUAGCCGUGAGGCUCAGGGAAUGUUGCUUCCACUUCCAAACCUUCAACUUUCAUCUGUAAGACAAGGUAUCAGCUCCCUUGCAGAGAAGUUUGAGGACUUGAAGCUGAGCACUUGGACAGGGCCUGUUACUGCAUCUGUGUGUUGCCCUCACAGAGGUCUCAGGGUCCCUGACUCAGGCUGGCAUCCCAGCUACUGUGUCCCCACCCACUCCCCUGCCCCCGUGUAUCCAGAAGCCAGUGAACCUCUCAGGAGUGCCGUAGAUUGGGGUGACCCAGGAGUAGAGCAGACAGGAAACUUGCAGGCUAGCCCCCAAGACCGAGCCAGAGCUAUGCCUCCGCAGGGCAGGAAUGCAGGCAAGCAGGAGGUUCCUUCUCCUGGUGGGGAGUCCCUGAUUCCCAGGGGAAAGGACUUGCACUUUGGAAAUCCAUUGAGGACAACAGAGCAGGGCUGCCAUAACAAAACCUUACAGACUGGGGAGCUUAUACAACAGACAUUUAUUUGACCUAGGAAAUCCCAGGUCAGUGUGCCAGCCAGUUCAGUUCCUGGUGUGGACCUUCUUCGUGACUUGAAGAUGUCUGUCUUCUUGGUGUGUCCUCACAUAUCAGAGAGAGAAAGAGAGCUCUGGUGUCUCUUCCUCUUCUUACAAGAACACGAAUCCCAUCAUGAGGGCCCCACUCUCAUGACCUCAUCUAAACCUAUAAUUAACUCCCAAAAGGUCUCACCGCCAAAUACCAUCACAUCGAAGGUUAGAGCUUUGGUGUGUGAAUUUGGUGAGGGCACAGACAUUCACAGGCGUAUCAUCGGUCUGUCCCCAGCAUUGGUCUCUGACUUGUGGGUGCUGAUCUUGUCGCUUUAGUUCACUGUCCUUAUGUGCACAUAAAGCCCCCCUUUCAGAACAAGAUGAAGGGAGCACAGUGAGGUCCUGAGGUCGAGAAGGAGGAAGGUGCUAGGGCUUCACUCAGGAAGGAGUCUUGCACCCUUCCUGCUCUGCCCUCAAAGGAGGGGCAGUUGGCAGACUAUUGUUGUGGGUGGGGAGGGUCCACAGCACUCAGUUUCUAUAUUUCUGACUUGUACAGUUGUAGUAUCCUGGUGGUUCUGGUCUAUUCUUGGGUAGCAGAGUCUGGGGCAAAUCUACAAUAGCCUAGCUUCUGAGGGAGAAUAGCACUAGUUAAAGAGAGACCGGGAAGGCAUGAAUGUUCUGCAUGGCAGCAGGGGGUGAACCACAGGGCUGGCCUGUUGCCCCUGACCGCAUGGGGCCUAGUCACUCUUCUCUCUCUGUGAUCUGAAUCUGAAUCUGUGGGUGUGCUGCUGAGCAUAGACAGCCCCUGGGUGGCUGCAGCUGGCUGGCUGGGCAGAGUCCUAUUUCCAUGCAUGAGCGAAUCAUUGACCAUGGAGACACUGGGUGGAAAGAGGCCUCUCAGAGCUUGUGCCUGAGCUACACAGUUGCUGUAUGUAUUAGUGUGCUAGGGCUGUGUAACAAAGAACCACAUACUGGGUGGCUCACACAAGAGACAUUUAUUGUCUCACAGAUAUAAUGGAGGCUGGAAGUCUGAGAUUGAGGUGUUGGUAGGGUUGGAUCCUUUUAAGUGCUGUGAGGAAGAAUCUGUC